CUCAUAGCGUAUAUUAAGUUGUUGCAGUUAGAACGCUCGUAGUCGGAUUUCGGGGCGGGCCGACCGGUCUGCCGAUGGGUAUGCACUGGCCGGCGCGUCCUUCCUCUCGGAGACCGUUCCUACUCUUAACUGAGCGGGAGCGGGAGACGGGACUUUUACUUUGAAAAAAUCAGAGUGUUUCAAGCAGGCAGCUCGCUCUUGCAUGGAUUAGCAUGGGAUAAUGAAAUAGGACUUUGGUGCUAUUUUGUUGGUUUCGAACACCGAAGUAAUGAUGAGAAGGGACAGUCAGGGGCACUCGUAUUCCGCCGAGAGAGGUGAAAUUCUCAGACCAGCGGAAGACGAACCACUGCGAAAGCAUUUGCCAGGGAUGUUUUCACUGAUCAAGAACGAAAGUUAGGGGAUCGAAGACGAUCAGAUACCGUCGUAGUCUUAACCAUAAACCAUGCCGACUAGGGAUCGGAGGAUGUUCACAUAUUGACUCCUUCGGCACCUUACGGGAAACUAAAGUCUUUGGGUUCCGGGGGGAGUAUGGUCGCAAGGCUGAAACUUAAAGGAAUUGACGGAAGGGCACCACCAGGUGUGGAGCCUGCGGCUUAAUUUGACUCAACACGGGGAAACUUACCAGGUCCAGACAUUGUGAGGAUUGACAGAUUGAGAGCUCUUUCUUGAUUCGAUGGGUGGUGGUGCAUGGCCGUUCU
rnacentral:rRNA from 1 species